CCAGCCUGACACACAGGGCAGUGGUCUCGCCCUUCAGCAGGCGGACGGCAGAGGCGCAUGUGGUCUGGAAGACGAUGCUAAUUUCCUCCAAGAGGAAAGCCAGCUCCCAACGCUUUCAUCCCAGUGAAAGCCAAGGCAAGGAUUCAGACGGCACGUUCUCAGAAUUGAGGGUUUUGUCAAGAAACACAGGAGCCCAAUGCCACAGGACAUCCGUGCACAAGCACCCCGAGGACCCUGGCUGCCCUUGUCUCAACGUCAGGACCAGGACUUUCCUCCUCAUAAUUUCCUAGGAACAGCGCAUGCUAAGGAAUUCCUGAAAGACCUCCUUCAGGCCGGAGCUCUGAAGUUAUAGUUUGAAAGAAGUUUGGGGAAGAGGAGGAGGCAACCCCUGUAAGCUGCCGUCUAUUCAAACAUUUUCCACUCCCGAGGCCACGUGACACCGUCUCUCCUAACAGCACCUGUCAGGCAUCACCCAGCGAAACCCCAAAGCUGCAUCAAUCAUGGUAAGAAGGAAAGAAAGCGACUUCACCCAAGCCUUAUAUGGCAUCUGCCUUUCAACAAUGAACAGUCCCGCUUCCUGUUGGUGGGUAACCCUGAGCAGCUCGAAAGCACAAUGAUAGGAAGACGCUAAGCGUACAACAACAAACGAAGGAAUAAACAUGCCCAGGUUUCUCUCUAAACCACCGUGUGUGGCUGGCUGGGCUGCGGUGUGUUACUUACAUUGCUAUGCAACGGGGGAAAAAAUAAAGGCGAUUUCAGGGAA